CGGGGCGUGGCUCAGUCCGGUUAGAGCGCUUGGUUUGGGACCAAGAUGUCACAGGUUCGAAUCCUGUCGCCCCGACCA
rnacentral:tRNA from 1 species